rnacentral:rRNA from 1 species
CAGUAGCCGCGGGAAUACGAAGGGGGCUAGCGUUGUUCGGAAUUAUUGGGCGUAAAGGGUGCGUAGGCGGUUUGACAAGUCUCAUGUGAAAUCUUCGGGCUCAACUCGAAGUCUGCAUGGGAAACUGUCGGGCUUGAGUAUGGGAGAGGCGAGUGGAAUUUCCGGUGUAGCGGUGAAAUGCGUAGAUAUCGGAAGGAACACCUGUGGCGAAAGCGGCUCACUGGACCAUAACUGACGCUGAGGCACGAAAGCUAGGGGAGCAAACAGGAUUAGAUACCCGAGUAGUCCCUGUCUCUUAUAA